UACGUAGGGGGCAAGCGUUGUCCGGAUUCAUUGGGCGUAAAGAGUGUGUAGGCGGUGCUCUAAGUUCGUUGUGAAAUCUCCCGGCUUAACUGGGAGGGUGCGGCGGAAACUGGAGUGCUUGAGCGCGGGAGAGGAAAGCGGAAUUCCUGGUGUAGCGGUGAAAUGCGUAGAUAUCAGGAGGAACACCUGUGGUGUAGACGGCUUUCUGGACCGUAGCUGACGCUGAGACACGAAAGCGUGGGUAGCAAACAGG
rnacentral:rRNA from 1 species